UUUCAUCAAAGGGCAUCAUCUAAAGGGCCAUAUCAAAUAAGAGGAGGCACAGAUCAAGUGAGGAGGUGUAUCAAAUGACAUGUCCUUUCAUGUGGUGCCAUAUUUUGACCAAGUCAACAACACAUGCCAAUCACAUGUCCAUCAUGCCUCACCUCUUGAUCUUUCAUGAUGAUGAUCCAAGGGCUCCAAUGCAAGGCGUCAUUCACUUGACCCAUUAUGUCUUCAUCCAAUGGUGUGAUUAAGAUCCAAUGGUCAAUUAUGAUAGCCAUUCUCUAACGCAAUCCAAUUGGGUUAAACCAACUCUCCAUUAUGUCUUCAUCCAACGGUAGAUCAAGAUCUAACGGUCUAGAUUGAAUGAUUUAUCAAAUCUAAUCCAAUUAGACUCAAACCAAGCCAAUUAGGUGCCAACUCUUGGCUAACCCAUAUUAGAACAUGAUCUAAUCAAAUUAGAUCAAUGAAGAAUCAAAUUCGAAUCCA
rnacentral:lncRNA from 1 species